AAUGAACGCUGGCGGCGCGCCUAAUACAUGCAAGUCGAGCGAGAAGACGUAGCAAUACGUUUGUAAAGCGGCGAACGGGUGAGGAAUACAUGGGUAACCUACCCUAGAGUGGGGAAUAACUAGCCGAAAGGUUAGCUAAUACCGCGUACGCUCCUUGGACUUCGGUUCAGGGAGGAAAGCGAUGCCGAGGGUAUCGCGCUCUUGGAUGGGCUCAUGUCCUAUCAGCUUGUUGGGAGGUAACGGCUCACCAAGGCUUCGACGGGUAGCUGGUCUGAGAGGACGAUCAGCCACACUGGCACUGCGACACGGGCCAGACUCCUACGGGAGGCAGCAGUAAGGAAUAUUGCGCAAUGGGCGAAAGCCUGACGCAGCGACGCCGCGUGGGGGAUGAAGGUCUUCGGAUUGUAAACCCCUUUCGGGAGGGAAGAUGGAAUGGGGUAACCCAUUCGGACGGUACUCCAGAAGCAGCCACGGCUAACUUCGUGCCAGCAGCCGCAG
rnacentral:rRNA from 1 species